CCAGCCCGCUCAGAAACUCAAGGAAUUGACGGGGCCCGCACAAGCGGUGGAGCAUGUGGUUAAUUCGAUGAUACGCGAGGAACCUUACCUGGGCUCAAAUGUAUGUUGACGUAUUCUGAAAGGGAUACUUCUUCGGACAAUAUACAAGGUGCUGCAUGGUUGUCGUCAGCUCGUGCCGUGAGGUGUCGGGUUAAGUCCCAUAACGAGCGCAACCCCUAUCAUUAGUUGCCAUCAGGUCAAGCUGGGGACUCUAAUGAAACUGCCUACGCAAGUAGUGAGGAAGGUGGGGAUGACGUCAAAUCAGCACGGCCCUUACGUCCAGGGCUACACACGUGCUACAAUGGCCGGUACAAAGGGCAGCUACCUGGUGACAGGAUGCUAAUCUCAAAAGCCGGUCUCAGUUCGGAUCGGAGUCUGCAACCCGACUCCGUGAAGCUGGAAUCGCUAGUAAUCGUGGAUCAGCAUGCCACGGUGAAUACGUUCCCGGGCCUU
rnacentral:rRNA from 1 species